GGGCUCGCUUCGGCAGCACGCAUACCCAAACUGCAACGAUACGGAGAAGGUUAGCACAGCCCCUGCACAAGGACGACACGCAAAUUCAUUUGAAAAAGAAAGAAAAA
rnacentral:snRNA from 1 species